rnacentral:tRNA from 2 species
GGAGAGGUACCGAAGCGGUCAUAACGGGGCGGUCUUGAAAACCGUUAGAGCGCAAGCUCACAAGGGUUCGAAUCCCUUCCUCUCCGCCA